UUAGUUGGGUGAGCAAAGGAGGGGGAGGUGGAGGAGCGGGAGAAGGAGAAGGGGGAGGAGGACUAGGGCGUGUUGCCUAGGCUCGGGCACGCGGGCAGAGAGAACCCCGUCGCCAGCGCUUUGGAGGUGGAUGGAAGACGCCCGCCUCGGCGAAUGGAAGUGACACCUGGCACCUGAAUCACUAAGGCAACAACGCGAGCGGAAAAACGUCUGCACCUCCCAUUCAUAGACACGAUUGAUGACAUCAUCACAGUUAAAAGGAAAACAUUUCUGAAGUGGCAUCUGGCAACUCAGUCAGCUUUAGUUACGAAGGAGUGAGGAUGCGUGUCUGCAGAUCCCCAUUCAUAAAAAAUCGAUUGAUGACCGGCAUGGACAGGAGUUACACGAUCUUUUAUUGUUAUUUUCUAAAUAAAUAUUUUAU